GGGAUAUAGUGACAGGGUUAGGGUUAUAGUGACUGGGUUAGGGUUAUAGUGACAGGGUUAGAGAAAUAGUGACAGGGUUAGGAAUAUAUUGACAGGGUUAGGAUUAUCGUGACAGGGAAGGGUUAUAGUGACAGGGUUAGGGUUAGGGUUAUAGUGACAGUGUUAUAGUGACAGGGUUAUAGUGACAAGGUUAGGGUUAUAGUGACAGGGUUAGGGUUAUAGUGACAGGGUUAGAUUAUAGUGACAAGGUUAGGGUUAGUUUGACAGGGUUAUGGAUAUAGUGACAGGGUUAGGGUUGUAGUGACAGGGUUAGGGAUAUAGUGACAGGGACAAGGACAGGGUAAUAGUGACAGGGUUAGGUUAUAGUGACAGGGUUAGGGUUAGGGUUAGGGUUAGGGUUAUAGUGACAGGGUUAGGGAUAUAGUGACAGUGUUAGGGUUAUAGUGACAGGGUUAGGGAUAUAGUGACAGGUUUAGGGUUAUAGUGACAGGGUUAGGGUUAUCGUGACAGGGUUAGGGUUAGCAAUUAUAGUGACAGGGUUAGGGAUAGGGUUAUAAUGAAAGGGUUAGGGUUAUAGUGACAGGGUUAGGGCUAUAGUGACAGGGUUAAGGUUAUAGUGACAGGGUUAGGGUUAUAGUGACAGGGUUAGAGAUAUAGUGACAGGGUUAGGGAUAUUUUGACAGGGUUAGGGUUAUAGUGACAGGGUUAGGGUUAUAGUGACAGGGUUACGGAUAUGGUGACAGGGUUAGGGAUAUAGUGACAGGGUUAUAGUGACAGGGUUAGGGGUUAUAGUUUCAGGGUUAGGGAUAUAGUGACAGGGUUAGGGUUUUCGUGACAGGGUUAGGGUUAUAGUGACAGGGUUAUAGUGACAGGGUUAUAGUGACAGGGUUAGGGUUAUAGUGACAGGGUUAUAGUGACAGGUUUAGGGUUAUAGUGACAGGGUUAUAAUGACAGGGUAAAGGUUAUAGUGACAGGGUAAUAGUGACAGGGUUAGGGUUAUAGUGACAGGGUUAGGGUUAUAGUGACAGGGUUAUCGUUAUAGUGACAGGGUUAUAGUGACAGGGUUAGGGUUAUAGUGACAGGGUUAGGGUUAUAGUCACAGGGUUAGGGAUAUAGUGACAGGGUUAGGGUUAUAGUGACAGGGUUUAGUGACAGGGUUAUAAUGACAGGGUUAGGGUUAUAGUGACAGGGUUAGGGAUAUAGUGACAGGGUUAGGCUUAUAGUGACAGGGUUAAGGUUAUAGUGACAGGGUUAGGCUUAUAGUGACAGGGUUAGGGGUUAUAGUGACAGGGUUAGGGGUUAUAGUGAC
ensembl:lncRNA